rnacentral:rRNA from 1 species
UACGGAGGGAGCUAGCGUUAUUCGGAAUUACUGGGCGUAAAGCGCACGUAGGCGGCUUUGUAAGUUAGAGGUGAAAGCCUGGAGCUCAACUCCAGAAUUGCCUUUAAGACUGCAUCGCUUGAAUCCAGGAGAGGUGAGUGGAAUUCCGAGUGUAGAGGUGAAAAUUCGUAGAUAUUCGGAAGAACACCAGUGGCGAAGGCGGCUCACUGGACUGGUAUUGACGCUGAGGUGGCGAAAGCGUGGGGAGCAAACAGG